rnacentral:rRNA from 1 species
AACCAACCGUGAUUGCUUAGUAACGGCGAGUGAAGCGGCAAAAGCUCAAAUUUGAAAUCUGGCGUCUUCGACGUCCGAGUUGUAAUUUGAAGAAGGCGACUUUGUAGCUGGUCCUUGUCUAUGUUCCUUGGAACAGGACGUCAUAGAGGGUGAGAAUCCCGUGUGGCGAGGAUCCCAGUUAUUUGUAAAGUGCUUUCGACGAGUCGAGUUGUUUGGGAAUGCAGCUCUAAGUGGGUGGUAAAUUCCAUCUAAAGCUAAAUAUUGGCGAGAGACCGAUAGCGAACAAGUACAGUGAUGGAAAGAUGAAAAGAACUUUGAAAAGAGAGUGAAAAAGUACGUGAAAUUGUUGAAAGGGAAGGGCAUUUGAUCAGACAUGGCGUUUGCUUCGGCUUUCGCUGGGCCAGCAUCAGUUUUAGCGGUUGGAUAAAUCCUCGGGAAUGUGGCUCUGCUUCGGUAGAGUGUUAUAGCCCGUGGGAAUACAGCCAGCUGGGACUGAGGAUUGCGACUUUUGUCAAGGAUGCUGGCGUAAUGGUUAAAUGCCGCCCGUCUUGAAACACGGACCAAGGAGUCUAACGUCUAUGCGAGUGUUUGGGUGUAAAACCCGUACGCGUAAUGAAAGUGAACGUAGGUGAGGGCCCGCAAGGGUGCAUCAUCGACCGAUCCUGAUGUCUUCGGAUGGAUUUGAGUAA